rnacentral:misc_RNA from 1 species
GUUAAUUUUAAAUAUCUUCAUUUAAAUUCUCAUCUAUUGAAAUAAACUUUAGUGGGUUUGGAUUUUGAUGAGUUGAAGCGAUCAUGACAUGUUAAUUAUGUUGAUAUUAUAUAUGAAGCAUGAAAAUUUUACAAAAAUUUUAAUUAAUCACAGCUAGCCAUUUUCUAUAGUAAAUUCAUUAAUAUAUUUUUCUAUUUAAAACAAUAUCCUAAUGCCUGGUGCACUUUAAAACAACUAUUUUGUAUUUGAAUUGUUUAAUUUAUGAAUCGUUUUUUCUUAAAUUCAAAAAGUUUAGUGUAAUUAUGGUCUCUAAAAUUUGAAUGAAUCAACUGGUUUUUGUACUGCAGCCGAUAGGCUUGUAAGACUUUCGAUUGCAAAUUCCUUACUGAAUCGAUGAAAAGACAUUUACUCUCAAUGUUCUUAGUUAAUUUUUGAUAGGCUGUGUGAAUCCACUUUUAUUCUCCGUCCUUGAUUGUUAUUGAUUUGUCAAAUUCUUUUUUGUUCUUUCUUUAGUAAGAUUCUGUUUUUCUCCCUCUCUUUCUUUCAAUCAAGGAAUUUAUACCUCCUGUUUGAAAAAU